rnacentral:rRNA from 1 species
UACGAAGGGGGCUAGCGUUGUUCGGAAUCACUGGGCGUAAAGCGCACGUAGGCGGAUUCUUAAGUCGGGGGUGAAAUCCUGAGGCUCAACCUCAGAACUGCCUUCGAUACUGGGGAUCUUGAGUUCGGAAGAGGUUGGUGGAACAGCUAGUGUAGAGGUGAAAUUCGUAGAUAUUAGCUAGAACACCAGUGGCGAAGGCGGCCAACUGGUCCGACACUGACGCUGAGGUGCGAAAGCGUGGGGAGCAAACAGGG